rnacentral:rRNA from 1 species
GACGGGGCCCGGCGACAAGCGGUGGAGUAUGUGGUUUAAUUCGAUGCAACGCGAAGAACUUACCUGGUCUUGACAUCCGGAGACCCUUAGGAAACUAGGGGGUGCUUCCAUCUGGAAGAAUCUGGAGACAGGUGCUGCAUGGCUGUCGUCAGCUCGUGUCGUGAGAUGUUGGGUUAAGUCCCGCAACGAGCGCAACCCUUGCCUUUAGUUGCCAGCAGUUCGGCUGGGCACUCUAAAGGGACUGCCGGUGUUAAACCGGAGGAAGGUGGGGAUGACGUCAAGUCCUCAUGGCCUUUAUGACCAGGGCUACACACGUACUACAAUGGCCGAUACAAAGGGCAGCGACACUGCGAGGUGAAGCCAAUCCCGUAAAAUCGGUCUCAGUCCGGAUUGGAGUCUGCAACUCGACUCCAUGAAGUUGGAAUCGCUAGUAAUCGUGGAUCAGCAUGCCACGGUGAAUACGUUCCCGGGCCUU